rnacentral:rRNA from 1 species
CUGCAGCCCGAGUGGUGAUCGAUUUUAUUGAGCCUGAAGCGUCCGUAGCCGGACUAGUAAACCCUUGGGUAAAUUGGGCAGCUUAACUGUCCAAAUUCCGAGGGGACUGCUAGUCUUGGGACCGGGAGAGGUCAGAGGUACUCAAGGGGUAGGGGCUAAAUCCUGUAAUCCUUUGGGGACCACCAGUGGCGAAGGCGUCUGACUAGAACGGAUCCGACGGUAAGGGACGAAACCCUGGGGCGCGAACCGGAUUAGAGACCCGUGUAGUCC